rnacentral:rRNA from 1 species
UACGAAGGUGGCAAGCGUUGUUCGGAUUUACUGGGCGUAAAGGGAGCGUAGGUGGUUAGGUAAGCCCUCCGGGAAAUCUUCAGGCUUAACCUGAAAAGGUCGGGGGGGACUGCCUGGCUAGAGGACGGGAGAGGAGCGCGGAAUUCACGGUGUAGCGGUGAAAUGCGUAGAGAUCGGGAGGAAGGCCGGUGGCGAAGGCGGCGCUCUGGAACGUUUCUGACACUGAGGCUCGAAAGCGUGGGGAGCAAACGGG